CAGCGAAACAACAAGCCAUCAUAUAACAUGUUACAUGUUAAAGAAAGGAUAAACAUAAUUUCUGGAACCUAUAUCAACGAAAACAACAACUUUGGAUGUCCUAAGUGAUACUUCAAAUUUGUAACAUAUGUUUCAGGAGUGCUUACACAGGAUAUUUUGUCGCGUUUAAAUUUGUUCUAUCUAAUUUUUUUUGGAGUAAUCUAUCUAUUCAGCUUGUGUGAUUUGGAUCUUUAUAUUGGACAAGGGAUAGCAAUUUUAAAAGCAGGUACUAUACUUCUAUCAGUUACAAAUGGGAGAUCAAGACAAAUUCAUGUUCUGCCGAUUUAUUGUGGAGUUCAUUAUUUGGAUAAGAGAAGCCGAUAUUACAAGGGCUUCCUAGGUCUGACAGAGACUAUAGUGUGUAAGGUGUGCUGUGACAAGGAUGUGGCCGCCGCCUUCCUGCCCUGUGGUCACCUGGUCUGCUGUCUGGACUGUGCCCCCGCGAUGAGGAGGUGCCCCUCUGUACAGAACUCAUCAAGGGCACAGUCAAAACCUACUUUGCAUAAAUGGGUCUACAGAUCUAUAGAAAACACAAGGGUGAAAAUUCAUUUUAGGAAUGUGGAUAUAUUACUUUUUGGGGAAAUUAUGAUUUUCAUCAGAGGUCACAGGAAGGGCAGAAAGUCGCGGAGUGUUUUCAGCUUGUGUUAAUUGGCUCUAGUUGAAACAACAUGAACAAGGAAGGGAUUUAUAACAAGGAAGGACAAGGGGAUAUAGCAGUACUAGAAGCAGAAUACUGGAUUUGUAAAUAGCAGAUGGAUCUUCUCAAGAAGAAAAGUGAUGGUGCUUCAACUUUGGAAGAAACAGCAGAAAAAUAAGUUUCCUCUUAAUUCAUCCUACAAAUAUCCCAUACUAUAACAAUUAACUUAUCUGUUAAAACUAAAUUAAACUCAUACUUCUCUGUUCUGUAAUUUCAUUAUAUUCUGUUAAAUCAAUUUUCACAAGCAAACAUGUUUCUGAUUAUCAUACUUGAUUGACAAAGAGGGAAUUCUUUUAUUGUAGUCUGAAGGUGUUAAUUUUUUUUACUCUGGACAGUUCAUACAAUUAUUACCCUUAACAUAAACAACAAUGAAUUAAAAGAAAAAAAAAUAGUUUUGUUCUUUGUACUAAAAUCAGAACAGAUUUUUAUCCUGCAGAU